UACUAGAGAAGGAAGCAAAGUACGAGAAUGGGACGCAGGGAAACCACAGUACUAACUAUGGUGAAAUACUACUUGCUCAGAGGGAGAGAAGUCUGGCAGCUGCAGCUGGGGCAGCACGGAGUUGGUGGGGGCGAAGACUCAGUAGAGUGUCAGACACCCUUGAUACUCAAGAAACAUCACGACAGCAUAAGAAGGAAAAUGUUCUGUGAGAGGCACUGUCAAGGUUUAUCUGCACAGAGAAGGCCAAGUCCAGUUGGCGUCUGGAAAAAGAUAAAGGGGCAUACAAGAGUGAAAAGUACAGAGGACCUGUGAUAUCCAUUUACUUCUCAAUCUGCCAUUUCUUAUAUCCAUCAAUGACUGUUUUACCACCAUUACUUCCAUAUCUGUUGUUGAUUAUUUCUUGUGUCCACCAUCAUGUCACCACCUGUAUCACGUCAUGUAUGUUACUAUCAAUCAUCAGCUUCAGUCUACCAGAACACACCUAGUGAGAGGUUCUCAAAUGAGAUCUCUGCUAAUUUUGUGUCUUAUUUACUUUAUUUCUGCAACAAAACUCACAGCCCAUGUCUGAAAAGUGAAGUAAGGAAGUUAAGAAGCCAAGAGUAUUCCACACUUUGGAAACAAAAUUGAAAAUUAUUACUGAUUCUGAAGAUGGUAAAUGAGCAGUCAUGUUGGAUGUGAACACAGAAUACAACUUAAAACAAUAAGAUCAACUGUAGCUGAUAAAAUAUAAAGAAGCUACAAAAUUAACAGUAAUUAAAUGUCUAAGAACCAGAAAAAAAUUUGUUCCUGAAAAUGGAGAAGUUAGUGUUUAUUUGGAUAUCCAAUCAGUAAGCUAAGGACAAUAAUGUGAAUUCUACUUUGACAAGGCAGAAGGCUAAGAGAUUUUUUAUCAGUCAUAAGGCCAGACUUUAAUGGUGUUUAUUUGCCACAAAAUGUAAUUUAGAACUCAAGUUUACAACUUGUUAGGAACAAACUAUCAUUAUAAGAUGCAAGUAUCGAUAUCCACUGUUUCCCUAUUGGUCACGCUUUUAAGGGACCAAUUAACAACAGACAUCAAGUGGUCCUAGACCCCACAUUUCAUGGAAGAAGUUCAUGAGGUAACAAAGUUCAGAAAUCAGACCUAAGGUUUAAUUCCCAGUAACUCUUGCAGUAAUCUGGAGUUAGUGUGGGUUAUAAACAAUGUCUUCAUGUGCAGACCACUAUCUGCGAUUACUGAGUGAAUAAGCACAUUAGAUGCAAUUAUAAUUCUCUAAUACUUGAGGAAAUUUUGUCAUCAGAGUCAUUCAAUCAUCAACCACACAUGAGAUGGAAACAUAAACUCAGAUGUAACAGCAAAUAUAUUCGUCAAAAAAUACAGUAAAAGACAAGAUUAUUUUGGUCAUCUUCCUGUAAAGUUAAUCCACUAUAUUAAGAACUGAGGCCAGUUGUUACUGUUCUGUAAUAACCUCUGCCAUACAGAAGUAGUACUGAUAAAGGAACCCAGUCUAUUAAAACCCUUAAUUCGGCUCUAGUUUAGCAAUGUAGCGGUGGUUUCUGCCUUCCUAGCCAAAAAAUUAGGCAUUGAUAUGCCACUUUUUCUUUUUAAUACACAAUUAUAUUUUCCACUUUCUUUGCUAAUAAUUAAGUUCUUGCAAAAGAAACUACCCUUAACAUCAGUAACUAAGGUCACUGUUACCUGACCCCUUAACACUCCACAAAUUCCAAUAAAUUUGAUGUGGAUCAGAAUCCACAGAUCUUCGAACCAUUUAAUUUAGAAGAAAAAUUACAACCUGGAUACCCACAAUGUAAUAUUUGAGGUCAAAACAUGCCAUAAUAAUGGGCCAAAUUUAUAAUAACAUAUCAUCAUAACUAGAAUAUUUAUGUAUUUUAUUGGGGCUAUGAAAAACGUUUAAAUUCCUUAAAAAUGUCUUGUCCAGGUGCUAUAUGAUCAAUAUUUAUAUCUAUCUCCAAUAUAAAUUCACCUUUUUUAAAAAACAUGCCUCAAUUAACACAUAAUGAAUUUCAAGUGAUCAAUGCAGGGAUGAUUAAAGAAAUUCCAAAUUAUACACUGGAUUACAAAGUAAUAUUCUCAUUCACAAUUUUUUUAAGAAUAUAAUCAAAAUUUGACUAAACAGUUCAAUAUUGUUAUUAACUAAUAAAUGAAGCAAAGUACAGUACCAGCUUCCUUAGCAGCCAGCCCCAAACCCAGAACUUUCACAAAUAAAAAUGCAACUUCAUCUGGUAUCAUUUUUCUUUACAAUACAAUGGUUACAUGUACUUCUCACUGUCAUCUCUACGAUUCUUUACUUUGUGUGGCAUAUGAUCACAGGUCUCCCAAACAAGAAAAUAAAAAAUUAAAACAGCAACUAAACUGUGUCGUAUUUAGCAUUGUGUGGUCCAGUGAUCUUGUGUAUUACGGACUGACUGCCCAUUCCCAGCAAAUAGUGGACCACAGAUGUUUAGGCUUCUCAGGAACAUUUAUAGCAAAAAUAUGCAACAUAAAUGUUUGAAAUAAACAGUCUUAAUUUUUGGAGUGUGGUCUUCUGGGUUAUGACACCAUCACUACUGCGAAACCCUCAAGUCUCAUACAGUUUGAACAAAUAUUCUGCUCAAUUCUGGCAGCAUAGUUCAUUCAGUAACACACAACAAAUCAAACAAAAGCUGCCUGAUAUUCCAACUUAUUACAGCUCAAGUGCUCUUACCAUUUUUAAUUUAAGGAUGCCUAUGUUACUGCCGACACUAGACACACAAAUGUUUUGUACAAAAUUUGUCAUUCUUUUCACUCUGUCAUAGUCCUUUUAUAAAGUUAAUAGGAAUUUUUACUCACUGAAUUCUAAUUCCUUCACAGUGAAAAUGAUUUUUGUAUUUUGUCUGGUUAUGUUAAUUAUAAGAACUUGUCAAGAACAUUCAGUGUCACAAAUCUAAAUAAUAAUUCCUGGAAAUAAAUCUAACUAAACAUUUCUCACGUUCAGUUUCUGUGAAAAACAGUCUUCACCUGAACAAUAUAUGUUAAUCUAUUACUGUGAAAGCAGAAAACGCAGUGAUCAGUGGUAAUCACCAAACUCUUAACAAGUGGACAGAAGAGAUAUACCAUGCCUGUAUUUUGUUAAUAUUACAAGGUGCAUGAUCCUGUUUGUUUUAUGUAAAAUGUGUCAAUGUUCACCUCACCCUGUACAUAAAUGCCAUGCAGUAAUGGGUUAUAUGCAAUGCGGACCAAAUGCAGUUCAGAUAGAGGCAAAGGAAGAUGAAACUGUUAUACAUUUUGUUCAAAUAUCAAAACUUCAAGACAUGUAUCACAGCACAAUCAAGUUAAACAACUGUAACGCCAUCUUACUUUAAACACAGGAAAUCACAUGUUCAUCUGGGAUAGCAGUUUAGUUUUUCUUUGUGAAAAAUGAGCAAGAAGCAGUUCAUACAGAUGACCCAGGGGCAAAUUCACAUGAUGUCAGCAACACAAACCAUUCGGCAGCCUUUAUUCACAAGGACGGUAUAAAUAUUUACUGAGUAUUGAAACCAAAAUUGUAAUUUACAACUUCAGUUUUGCAUAGUGAUGAAAAGACUGACAGUAAUAAUUCUGAUUCAUGAUCAUUUGAAUAAAUAAAUGUAAGAAUUCCAUUUCUAUAUUAUCAGAAAAAUAAAUAUGUGAUGCACUGAAAAAGUUGACACAGUAUGUGGUGAUAAAAAUCGUGCAUUAGCUUAUCAUCAUCAUUCACAAAAAACUGAUUUAAUUAAUAAUAAUAAUGUACACCAAUUGUAAAUUGUGAAUAUUGAUGAGUUAGGAAUAACAGGGAAAUAAUUUUAAUUGAAUAACAAACUGCAAUUUGGAAAGAAUGUGACAAGUAGCCACGGACAAUUUUAAGAUACUGUCACAGAAUUUGCAUUAACAGACUCAGAAAGACAAAGAAAGUCUUCUGCCACCUCGAUGAACUACAUUAAUUAUGGUUAAGUUGCUAUUCAACAGUGUACCUAUAUGUCAAUAAUUAAGUCACAUAUAUUUUAUAUAAUUAAAAAAUAAUUUGGUGAUUACCAAUUUUCACUGAUAAUUUUCAAUGUUGCCUAUGUAUCAAUAAAACAGGAGAAGAAAUGAGCAUUAUAGUACAUACAAACAUACGAGUAAAUGGUUUUAAUGUCAAAGUCUGUACAAGCUGUUCAAUAUAAAAACAGACUAGUCACGUGAUACAAUAGAAAAAAUUUUAUAACACAUUACUCACUAGAACAGCCUUUUUUACACUUUUUUCUCAUACCAUAACCAAAUUAAAAUGUACUGCAUUUCUAGAUUAUUUAAUGACACUCUCACAACUCCAGAAGUUAAGCCAUGUUGCACGAGAUGAUGACUGAAUGUGGUGAAUUAGAGAGCAUUGUGGGAAGACAAAGUUUUAGCCACAUUCAAGAUAUUAGAUAUUUUCUCAUUCACCUAAAAUGAAUGAGAAAAGCUAUGGCAGGUAAGGAUAGAAUAUCCAGUGCCUCAGUCAAGUUUUAUACCAGGUAAAUCCUGAAUACAAACGUGUUUGGUCCACCAUCAAGUUUCUUUUGCAACACCAAAUUAACUCACACAUGACCACAUAAUGGGGCUAAUAUUAUAAAAAAAAACAAUUUACAGAAAACUUUUGAGAAACAGCUGAUAAAUCCCACUUCAAAGGUCAUGAAGAUGUGUUUACUUUGGUUAUGGCAUGGUAAUUUAGCAUUUUUUAAAAAAUUAUUGGUGUUUAUAUUGCCUCUUUCUUCUCCUAAUGUCUUGUUACUAAUCUCUCUUUACAUGACUUUGGUGUGUAUAUAUGUUCAUAUCCAUGGUAUUUAUAACAAAGAUAUUUUCAUACCUAAACCAAAUAAUGUGCAUUGAUUAUUUCUAUUCACAAAUCAGACUAUAAUGUAUAAUAAAAUAAAUAUUCAAUUUACUUAUA